rnacentral:rRNA from 1 species
AGUGGCGGACGGGUGAGUAACGCGUGAGAAUCUGCCUUGGGGUCGGGAACAACCACUGGAAACGGUGGCUAAUACCGGAUAAGCCGAUUGGUGAAAGAUUUAUUGCCCGAAGAGGAGCUCGCGUCUGAUUAGCUAGUUGGUGAGGUAAGAGCUCACCAAGGCAGCGAUCAGUAGCUGGUCUGAGAGGACGAUCAGCCACACUGGGACUGAGACACGGCCCAGACUCCUACGGGAGGCAGCAGUGGGGAAUUUUCCGCAAUGGGCGAAAGCCUGACGGAGCAAGACCGCGUGAGGGAGGAAGGCUCUUGGGUUGUAAACCUCUUUUCUCAGGGAAGAAGCUCUGACGGUACCUGAGGAAUCAGCCUCGGCUAACUCCGUGCCAGCAGCCGCGGUAAUACGGAGGAGGCAAGCGUUAUCCGGAAUUAUUGGGCGUAAAGCGUCCGCAGGUGGCGAUUCAAGUCUGCUGUCAAAGCACGGGGCUUAACUCCGUAAAGGCAGUGGAAACUGAAUAGCUAGAGUGCCGUAGGGGUAGAGGGAAUUCCCGGUGUAGCGGUGAAAUGCGUAGAGAUCGGGAAGAACAUCGGUGGCGAAAGCGCUCUACUGGACGGCAACUGACACUCAGGGACGAAAGCUAGGGGAGCGAAUGGGAUUAGAUACCCC